rnacentral:rRNA from 1 species
UACGUAGGGUGCAAGCGUUAAUCGGAAUUACUGGGCGUAAAGCGUGCGCAGGCGGUUUUGUAAGUCUGUCGUGAAAUCCCCGGGCUUAACCUGGGAAUGGCGAUGGAGACUGCAAGGCUAGAGUUUGGCAGAGGGGGGUAGAAUUCCACGUGUAGCAGUGAAAUGCGUAGAGAUGUGGAGGAACACCGAUGGCGAAGGCAGCCCCCUGGGUCAAAACUGACGCUCAUGCACGAAAGCGUGGGGAGCAAACAGG